rnacentral:tRNA from 1 species
GCAUUAAUGGGGUAGUGGUAACCUGGGUCGUUGCCAUGUUGUAUAACUUCGACCCGCCGGGGGUUCAAUUCCCCCUUAAUGCA